UUGUAGGUCUGGUCCUGGAAUCUGAUCCAAUACGAAACCUCCGCGCGUGCUACAACCGUUCGCUCUUUCUGCCAUUGUAGCUUCGUAUUCAAGAGCUAAACAAACAAACCCUAACCCUAAUCCUCACCCCUUUCCGAUCAUGGCCACCGAUGCCCGUGACUCGCGUCGCAAGCAUCACCGAUCAUCCUCUCCGGAGGACGUUGACAGAUCCUCCAAGCGCCACAAGCACCGCCACCGCCACCGCCACGGGACCAAAAAGCGCGACGAAGAGAUCGAAUUCGACGACAGAACAAUUGCUGCGCUUCCUUCUCCAAUUCCGCGUACACAUCUCCGUGACGACGAUGUGGAGGAGGGAGAGAUCCUUGAAGACGAGGCUCUCGAUGGCGAGGUUGGAAAAAAGGAGACGGAAUCUGAUGUCGAGCCUGGUGAAAUCAAGGUGACAGGAGAUCGAGAUGUUCGAUCUGAUAAUCAAAAUUCGGGACACCUCACUAGAAAUUCAGAAUCUAGAAAUGAGGAAAUUAGAGGUGAUAAAUUUAGUAGUCCUGCAGUGAAUGCAGAAGACGGUGUCUCUCCUAAUCAGUCAAGUGCUAGGACUCGAGAUAGAAAGCAUGCUCAAGCUCAGACAGAUGAUGUUGGGAAUGGCUAUUUGGAUCCUAAAUCUUCCAAAGGGGAUAAGUGGCAGAAUGGGGAACUUGGACAUUCUAAAGGAAAUGAAAAACUAAAAGGUGUCUUUGAUGACGAAGCACUGGAGGCUAAUGCAAGGAAAGCAUAUUACCAUAGGAGUUCGUCCUCUGAAAGUGGAGGAGAAAAAUAUCGAAUCUCUGGAAGUUCUCAUUCUCAUGGUAGGCAUAGAAGUCGAUCAAGAUCAACAGGUCAUACUAGAGACAGGUCUCGUUCUCGUAGUACCAUAGAAGAAUAUGCUCAUUCCAAGAGAAGGCGCUCUGGGGACCAAGGGUCCAUUUAUUAUACUGGCAGACAUGAUACUGACUAUGAUAAUGAUGAUGAAAGAGUAAGGGGUCAUGGAAGGGAGCAUGGUCAUGCCAGUGUGGUAGAUAAUAGAAGGGACUACGGUACCAGAUAUCAAAAUCGGGAUGCCUGGGAUAGGGAUAGGAGUAGGGACAGAGAUGUGGAUAGAGACUUGCACAGAGAAAAGAAACAAGAGGAAACAAGCAGGGGUAGGGAGAUUGAGUGGGAACACAAAAGGGGAAAAGAACGUGAAAGGAGCCGCGAGAGAUAUAGAAGAGAUGUAGAAAAAGAUAGGAGCAAAGAAAGGGAGGAGGAUAGGGACAGGAGACGAGAAAAGGAAAGAGAUAGAAGUUGGGAGACAAUGUUUGAGAGGGAUAGGAGAAGGGAAAAGGAAAGAGAUAGAAGUAGGGACAGAACAAGAGGUGGCAAGAGAGAUAGAGACCUGGAGAAUGAAAGGGAUGACAAGAAUCGGGAAAGAGAUAACAUUAAGGAGAGGGAAAGGCGAGAUGAUAGAUAUAGGCACAAAGACAGAGACACUGCAAAUGGUAAAGAUAGGCAUCUGCGUCAUGAGGAUGGUAAUGACAAUGGAGAUAGAUAUAGAAAACAUUCAAGACAUGAAGAAAAUGAAUACCAUUGGGAAAGAAAAAGAAAUUCUGAUAAUCUUGUAAUGGCUUAUACUGCAGAAGAGGGUGAUAGCAAACUAACAAGCAGUGAGGUUGGACCAAAUGAAUUAGAGGAGGAUACAUUGCAAUUACCUGAGAAAGAAGAGGAAGAUCUCAACAGGAUCAAAGAAGAGAGUAGAAGAAGAAGGGAAGCAAUAAUGGAGAAAUACAAGAAGCAGCAUCAGCAAGUAGAACAAGCUGUUGGAAAUGAAGGAAAUGGCAAGGAUGCAGACAUUCCUAUUAACAUCUCAGAAGCACGCGAUAGUAAGAAUGAUGGUGCUGAUUCUGCUGAACAAUCAUUUGCUGUUGGGAAAUCUCCUGAAAAUGUGAAUGCUUCUUCUAAGAAGACAUCUCUUGCCGGGGGCCUGGGAGAGGGUAGUCCAAAGGGUGAGAGGUCAGAUGAUAUGUUUUGUGAUGAUAUAUUUGGUGAGACACCAACAGGUGUUCGGAAAUCAGGAAAAGGGGAUGGUUUACUGAUUGAGAGGGUUGGCCUACAUGACAAUUGGGAUGAUGCAGAGGGUUAUUACAGCUAUCGUAUAGGUGAAAUACUUGAUGGCAGAUAUGAAGUCACUGCUGCACAUGGGAGGGGUGUCUUUUCAACAGUUGUUCGGGCAAAGAAUCUAAAAAUGGGAAAUGGUGAGCCAGAAGAAGUAGCAAUAAAAAUUAUUCGUAAUAAUGACACCAUGUACAAGGCUGGGAUGGAUGAAUUGGUUAUAUUAAAGAAAUUAGUAGGUGCAGAUCCAGAUGAUAAGCGUCAUUGUGUUCGUUUCCUUUCAAGUUUUAGAUACCGGAAUCAUCUUUGUUUAGUUUUUGAAUCUCUUAAUAUGAAUCUGCGUGAGGUUUUAAAGAAGUUUGGUCGCAAUAUUGGCCUUAGGCUAACAGCAGUGAGAGCAUAUGCAAAACAACUUUUUAUUGCACUCAAGCAUCUCCGGAACUGUGGUGUUCUUCACUGUGAUAUAAAGCCAGAUAAUAUGUUGGUAAACGAAGCUAAAAAUGUGUUGAAGCUAUGUGACUUUGGUAAUGCUAUGUUUGCUGGUAAAAAUGAAGUUACACCAUAUCUUGUGAGCCGUUUUUAUCGUGCCCCAGAAAUAAUACUUGGCUUGACAUAUGAUCAUCCAUUGGAUAUUUGGUCUGUAGGUUGUUGUUUGUAUGAGUUGUAUGUUGGGAAGGUUCUUUUCCCAGGGUUUACAAACAAUGACAUGCUACGGCUUCACAUGGAACUGAAGGGCCCUUUUCCGAAAAAGAUGCUACGCAAGGGAGCAUUUACUGAACAGCAUUUUGAUCAAGACCUGAAUUUUCUUGCUACUGAAGAAGAUCCUGUAACAAAAAAGACCAUAAAGCGGCUGAUUCUCAACAUUAAGCCAAAAGAUAUUGGGACAUUCAUCACUGGCUCUGCUGGGGAGGAUCCAAAAAUGUUAGCAAACUUUAAGGAUCUUCUGGAAAAAGUUUUUGUCUUGGAUCCAGACAAGAGGCUGACAGUUUCACAAGCUCUGAACCACCCAUUCAUCACUGGCAAGUGAACAAUGUUGCUGAAUUUGACUCCCAAAAUGAUAUACACUGAUAUUUGUACAUAAUGAUCCAAUUGUUAUUGUGGUUCUAAUUAUUUGGCACUAUUUAUCUUCUGUGUAUGGCCCAAGGAGUGUCAUCACAGUUGUCGGCAUGUUGACGUGAAAAAGGAUGAUGUCUCUACAGGCACUUUACUGGCGGUUCUUUCAGUGGAAUGUACUGUUUCUAUUGAGACAUAUCACGUUUGAGGCAUCCUUCCAUGCUUAGAUGCUUUGAAGGAACCCCGGAGAAGGUACCUUGGCUUGUUUAUUGGGAGAUUAAUUUCACCAAGCUGGAAUGAGUUAUGAUUUCCAUUAAAUUUCAUUGACGGUGCCAGUAGAAUAACUGCCAUGUUUGAAUUGGAAUUUAUUGAGAUGAGCCCAAAUGGUCUUUUUUUAAGUCAUAAGUCAAUGAUUGUUGGUACUGUUUGAGCACAUGUGAGCACAUUAAUUGUUUGUAUUGUUAGCAAGGUACAUGAGUUGGGGGGAGGAGGGGAAGUGGUUAGUGUCUAACCUGCAUCCUCAUCCAGAUACAGGUACCACUAGGCCAUAUGCCUAGUUGCUACUGCCUUUAAAUUGUUUCACCAUGAGUGGCAGAAUUCCUAUGUGCUGCCUUCUCUGUUUCAUUCUUUUUAUCCCUUUCAGUUAUGACUUGAGUUAGGUGUGUAGAUAUCUUAUUUCUUGAACUGUACUUGAGCAUCACUUCCCAUCUGAUGUCAUGUACUCUUUUGUUAGCAUUAAUUUUCUUAAAUUACCUAUAUGCAUAUCCUAAUGAUAUUGUGUUGCAUCUUAUCUUAUCCAUUUUGGGUCAUUCUGGAGGCAAUUCCACUGGAUGUCUUUGGCUGUUCACGAAGAAAAUUCAUUUCACGGUACUAUAUCUUGGUCCUGCAAUUUAUGUAAGUAUAUUCCAAGUCCAAUUCCUUUCUCAUCUUGUCAAUGUUGAUGGCAUAGAUGGUCCUUUGCAUCCAGUUCCUUACAAUAUACAUACCUAGUUCUCAAUUCUGUUUCAAAAUUUGAUGAAUAUGAAGUUUGCAAUUGCGUUAAAACUUUUCUGCUGUGUUUCUGAUGAUUAAUUUAGAUGGGAAUUGGGUGAGCAUUUUUUGUUGUUGGGUUCUGUGCAUGGUUGUUUCUUCUGAUUUAUAAGCAGCGAUUUUGGCUAUCCUCCUGUUUCUUCUUGUCCUAAACCACUAAUAUUCUUUGCUGUUUGGUGACUUGGUCAGUCCUCUACUUUUCCUUGAUAUUCAUUUAAUAGCAUAUUUAUUUCCUGUUUUAUUUAUUUUAGAGAAUGCAAUUAAGUUUUCUUUUGAUAGUAAAUUUCUUUUGAUUGUGAAGUAACGCAAUAUGCACAUACACACUCCCCUUAAUGUGUGGGUUUUGGAUAUUUUAAAAUUGAGUUUACCAGUCUAGGGUCAGGAUACAGCCAUACAGGGAACUUGCAAAUAACCUAACUCCGUGUUCAAAUACAAUUGCGUUGUUUUAUCACGGGCAGAAAGUGGCAAGGUGUGCCUAAUUCGUUUGGCAGCCUUCAGUGUAUUUGGCAUCAUUGCAUGUACAUUAGUCAUGUCAAUCUACCUUUUAUUUUAUAUUUUAAAUUGAGGAUGAAGAGAAAAUAAGAUAACUUUAAAAUUUUAAAUAAAAUAAUCAUUAGCCAUGGCUUACAAAAUAGUAUUAUGAUAUGAUUUUAUCUACAUUCCCAACCUCACCCGGUGGGAAUAGUUUUAGGUGGCUGAUGUACUUGAUAGCCAUUGCUUACAAAUUUAUGAGUUCUAAAGAUGGAAACAACUACCCAUUGACUUGACUACCAUUUCUCUUUUUUGGAUAGAUCUUGUAUCUUGAAGAAAUAAAAAGAACCAAUGUCUAAUAUUUUCAUAUUAAUGUAGUUAUACUUUGUUGUACAACUUAUAAUGGAAACCUUUCAAAGCGGGAUUAUCCUUGGGUGUGGGUGGUUUUGGCCUGAUUAUCGGAAAACUCUCUGUUUUGCUUGAUAUGCCACCGGUUAAUCGUUUAAUAACCUGAUCUCGUCUGUGUAUAAUGUUGUGUAGCUUAAAUAAUGAAUUUCAACAUGUACAGCAUUUUUGUAUAUUAUACCUAAAAGGAUUCCGAGUUUUUACUAUAUAUAAUUUGAAAUGUUUAUAUUUCCUUAAUGUGGACCCCCAGAUUGCCAAUUUUCAUAGGUAACAAAUGCUUUUGGGUGAGAGUAUUAGAGUCAGCUAUCAGAAUUAAACAACAUAUAGAGAAUAGUGAAAUAUUUUUUUUAUCGAUGUGGCAAUUACUUUGGGUAGUUUGCUAUUGCGUGGUGGUGGGUGAAACUUGAAAGUUCCAGAUAUUCACCACAAAAUUAUGGGGACAACGUAGUGCAAAAACAUUUAUCAGUGGUAAAAACAGCAGAAAAAACUGAAGCAAGCAUGCUACUCUGCCUCGAGACCUAGACCUUCCCACUUCUCUCUGCGGAAUUCUGUCCCCAGGGGUCCAGUUCUACCCAUCAAAUUCUCCACUCAUCUCAUUUCCCCCACUUCCUCGCCAGCUACCUGACCUAUCAGUCUGUUAAACGUGUCCCUAAAGCAUCUGUUUGUUACAAUAGAAUCUCGAAGGGAGGAAAGACACUCAAAUCACACCCAUUCCUUUGUUUGGUUAGUUCAAGAGAGGAGGGAAGCUUUAAAAAAACUGUGGGACUUGCAAAUUAUGUCAUCCGCCCUAGUUGGGAAGAAAUGGAGAGGCAAAGGUGAUAUUUAUACACUAAAUGAUUAAAAUAUCUUUUAUUUUAUAUAUCUUUAUUUUUACACUACUCUUAAAUUUUCCUUAACAUUAAGCAAAUUACAAAAUUAUAUCGCUUUCCGUUUUUUUUCUUCUUUUUUUCACCUUUUAUAAACAAACCAUACCAUAGUAGUAGACUUACCAAUAUGUUCUGUUAGCAUUGAUCUUCAAAUUUUUUGUUGAGAAUAUUGAGCUAGUUUUAUGCAAGAUUUUUAAAUAUUCGGGCAGAGACGCAAGGUCCAUAGGCGAGAGGGUAAGCCGAAUCCUACACCUGACGGUGAGUGAUAAACUUUCCUCUUGAGGAACAACGUCAACAUCGGGCUGCAGAAGGAUGUAGCUAUGAUGUCCUCAAUCCUCAGUGAAUCCCAUGUUGACUUGUCUCUGAUUUUCCCAGACUAUGAAUGAAGACUUCUAAAGAAACGACUGUCAUGCCACUUUCCCAAAAACUAAUAGCCCAAACACGAAUGUACGUAAGGUUUGACCAGUUGAAAACAAACAAGCAACUAGAUAGAGUUAUGGAAAAUAAAAUGCGAUCAGUUGGUGUUAGUUGUCAGUCAAAUGAUCUGUUUGUCAGUGGUGCGGAGAUUGUAGGUUGGAGUGAGAGGGAUCAUGCAUAUGCUAUACUCUGAUGUUUGUUGUGUGGUAUUUAGUUUCUGUUGUAGAAAUUUGUUUGUGUAUCGUGUUUGCCUUGAUGAAGCUCUAGAAUCAUUUUACUCA